AGAGCAGUAACUGGGGAGAGAAAAGAAGACUCUUGAGUGGGCGGUGCCCACACUGCUGAUUGCUAGCAGGGUGUAGCAAGUACCUCGGCUCAGGCAAAGUCAAAUCUCACGACUACACACGUGUAACUCUUUCAUGUAAAGAGGGCUCUACCUGCUGUAAUUUGCUGCUUUUGUAACCCUGUGUGUGUGUGUGUGUGUGUGUGUGUGUGUGUGUGUGUGAUGUAAGGUUUUUGUGAGAGAUGCCUGUGAGUGGCAGAGUCUGCUGCAGGGGUGUUCUUAGCACUUCACACACAAGUGGGAAAGUUACCACAUCACCACAUCAACUUUUAGGGAAGUAAUAGUGGGAUCUCAAGUGCUGCCAGGACUCAGUUUAUGUUUAAACAGCCUGAGUCUGGGGAAGGUGUGUCUUGUUAAGACACUUGAAACCCUAAGGAAUUAAAUGCUGGGUUUCAUUUGCCUCUUUCCUUUGUAAUUGAUGAGAGGCAUCAGUAGUCUUUCUCCUUGUCCUCAAAUACAGCCAGCUCAUCUUCCGUAAGGCUAGCUGCCUCGUACAGUGGGGAGUAAUGGUUGCUGAGAACUGUACAGUGAGGAUCUGUACCAAGGAAAAUCUCAGAGUACUCUGAGAUGGGUUUUAAAUGUUUAAUCCUUAAGAGUAAGUUCUAGAUUUGAGAGAUUCUGGCCCCAAGUCCCUUAUUUGAUAUUACUUGACAUAUUAUGGUUAGUUUGAAAAUGGGAGAAGUAGAAGUUUGGGCUUCUCUUUACCCUGUGACUUAACUGUCUCUUCCCCGAGUUCUGAUACAAGAGUCUUAGGCGAACUUAACUUUUCAAACGCCGAGGGAGGGAGGAAGCAAAGUCCCAUCGCUGUUAAUUUGUAAACAGAUGGAGGAAAUAACAUGCAAAUGUGGGCCAUGCGGCAGACCCAAGGGCAGACCCGAGGGUUUUACGUGCCUGUCACUCAGCCUGUCAGCUCUUUCUGUUUCUGCUUUGUCAAGAGAAUUGAAGUUUGAAGCACAGCUUCAUGGUGGCAUUUAUAGGGAAAAAAACUUUGGUGUCAUAAUCUAGAUGGAAUUUCAACAUAUAGAAUAUAUGGAAUAUAGAGAUGAAAUUUCAAGAUAUAAUGAAAGGUCUUCGUUAUAACUGGCAAAAGGUCUUUUGAAUUACCUGAUUUUUUUUUUUUUUCCUGUACUGCUAAGACAACUGGUUAGGUCCUGCUCCUGAGCAAAUCUACAUUCACGUUUAGUGUACUGCAACAUGAUUUACAAAGAGGGUAUGUCAAACGAGAGCCCAUGUUUGUGGGAGGCUAACAAGUGAAUCAUUUCCCCAUAGUUCUCCCCCCACUCCCCCCCUCGAACCUGUUCCUAAAUACUGAAUUAAGCACAGACUGGGUACUCUGACUUCAGUGUGCUCAAUGCUGACUUAUGUGAGGAAUAAAACAACUCUGAAUGGGAUUCCAUUCCCCAGGGCACUUUGCAGUUCUUUCUGGCUAAGGGUACAAACUGGUGGUUUGGCUUGUUUGUUUUGUUUUGUUUCAUUUCCUUGAGACAAGGUCUCACUUAUAAGCUGGCUAUUUUAUAAUGUUGGGAGCACAUCCAUGUAUGGGGUCUAGCUAAGCAGGGAUUUGCACACCAGAGCCUUCUGGAUAUAUAUAUAUAUAUAUAUAUAUAUAAAUUCCACAAGAUAUAAAUGGAUUUUUUUCAUUUUAAAUUGUUGAAAUUAGCCUACUGAUAACAAUAGAUCAUGUGAAAAUGAUAUGAGAUUCUAAUUUUGAUGCCACCAUCAAAUUAUAUCACAUUUACUCACGUGUUGCGUACAGAUACUUGCAGCUACAGAGACAAAAUUGUACAACUGUACAUAUUAUGACAGAGAUCAUAUAGUCUGCAAAGCU
rnacentral:lncRNA from 1 species